rnacentral:rRNA from 1 species
AACGAACGCUGGCGGCAGGCCUAACACAUGCAAGUCGAACGAACCCUUCGGGUUUAGUGGCGGACGGGUGCGUAACACGUGGGAACGUGCCCUUAGGUUCGGAAUAACUCAGGGAAACUUGUGCUAAUACCGAAUGUGCCCUUCGGGGGAAAGAUUAAUCGCCUUUUGAGGGGCCCGCGUCUGAUUAGCUAGUUGGUUGGGGUAAUGGCUCACCAAGGCGACGAUCAGUAGCUGGUCUGAGAGGAUGAUCAGCCACAUUGGGACUGAGACACGGCCCAGACUCCUACGGGAGGCAGCAGUGGGGAAUCUUGCGCAAUGGGCGAAAGCCUGACGCAGCCAUGCCGCGUGAAUGAUGAAGGUCUUAGGAUUGUAAAGUUCUUUCACCGGGGACGAUAAUGACGGUACCCGGAGAAGAAGCCCCGGCUAACUUCGUG